UGCAGAAUCCCGUGAACCAUCGAGUCUUUGAACGCAAGUUGCGCCUGAAGCCAUUCGGCCGAAGGCACGUCUGCCUGGGCGUCA
rnacentral:rRNA from 3 species